UUCUUAUAGAACUUAUUAUAAGUAAAAUCUGCUCAAUGAUUUAAAUAGCCGCAGAAUUCUGUGCUAAGGUAGCAUAAUCAUUUGCCUUUUAAUUAAAGGCUAGUAUGAAAGAUUUAACAUUUUAAUUUUUCUGUAAAAAUUAUUAUUCUAAUUUAUUUUAAUUAUAAAAAAAUAAUUAUACAUUAGAAAGACGACAAGACCCUAUUGAACUUUACUUUAGUUUAACUGGGGCAGUUAAUUAAAUAAAAUCUUAAUUCAAUUAUUUACUUAAUUAGACCCAAUCCAAUUGAUUAAAUGAUCAAGUUACCAUAGGGAUAACAGCGUAAUAAAAUUUAAAAGCUCUUAUUUAAAAUUAAGAUUGCGACCUCGAUGUUGAAUUGAUAAACCUAUUAUGUGCAACUACAUAAAAAGGAGGUCUGUUCGACCUUUAAAUUAUCACA
rnacentral:rRNA from 1 species